AAAAUACAGUCCUCAGGGGAGAGGAUUUAAAGUGAUUUAUUAAGAUUUCAAUGGAUGAUGACUUAUUUUGCAAUUGUUGUUAUUACAUCCCUUUAAUUAACAGAUAAUCCAUGAAUUAUGGAAUAUGCAAUAGACUAUGUUAGGGAAACAUUUUUUGAUCUGUGUAAAUAAACUGAGAUGAAUGGUGGGUGCACCUGUUCCUAGUGUGUCCAGGGAAUAUGUGAAACUCUGGCACAGGAUGAAUGUCUGUUGGUGUCAGUGUGACAAUAAUAAAACAAAGCUGGCACUGAGGUCAGGAAGUCUUUGGUGGGCGGGAAGCUACCGUCUGCAAACAGAGCCCAGCACGGCUGUGUGUUCUGAUGCCCAUCAACCAGGAAAGGGAAUCUAAGGUUUCCAAACGAUUUUCCCUCUUCACAAAGCUGUUAUGAAAUAAAAUACAAAUCCUUCCUG
rnacentral:lncRNA from 1 species